rnacentral:rRNA from 1 species
GACGAACGCUGGCGGCGUGCCUAAUACAUGCAAGUCGAGCGAAGUUUUUCUGGUGCUUGCACUAGAAAAACUUAGCGGCGAACGGGUGAGUAACACGUAAAGAACCUGCCUCAUAGACUGGGACCACUAUUGGAAACGAUAGCUAAUACCGGAUAACAGUAUUUCUCGCAUGAGAGAUAUUUAAAAGUUGGUUAUGCUAACACUAUGAGAUGGCUUUGCGGUGCAUUAGCUAGUUGGUGGGGUAAAGGCCCACCAAGGCAACGAUGCAUAGCCGACCUGAGAGGGUGAUCGGCCACACUGGGACUGAGACACGGCCCAGACUCCUACGGGAGGCAGCAGUAGGGAAUCUUCCGCAAUGGGCGAAAGCCUGACGGAGCAACGCCGCGUGAGUGAAGAAGGAUUUCGGUUCGUAAAGCUCUGUUGUUAGGGAAGAAUGGAUAUGUAGUAACUAUACAUGUAAGAGACGGUACCUAACCAGAAAGCCACGGCUAACUACGUG